rnacentral:rRNA from 1 species
GACGAACGCUGGCGGCGUGCUUAACACAUGCAAGUCGAACGGAAAGGCCCUGCUUUUGUGGGGUGCUCGAGUGGCGAACGGGUGAGUAACACGUGAGUAACCUGCCCUUGACUUUGGGAUAACUUCAGGAAACUGGGGCUAAUACCGGAAAGGAGCUCCUGCUGCAUGGGGGGGGUGGGAAAGUUUCGGCGGUUGGGGAUGGACUCGCGGCUUAUCAGCUUGUUGGUGGGGUAGUGGCUUACCAAGGCUUUGACGGGUAGCCGGCCUGAGAGGGUGACCGGCCACAUUGGGACUGAGAUACGGCCCAGACUCCUACGGGAGGCAGCAGUGGGGAAUAUUGCACAAUGGGCGGAAGCCUGAUGCAGGAACGCCGCGUGCGGGAUGACGGCCUUCGGGUUGUAAACCGCUUUCGCCUGUGACGAAGCGUGAGUGACGGUAAUGGGUAAAGAAGCACCGGCUAACUACGUG